GAAUGCAGCAAUAAUAUAUAAAGUAAAACAAGACGGAAAGUCAAACUCGAAGCCGAAUAAUAAGUGUGGAGGCUCGAUAGGCAAGCAGCGAGUAUAGAGUGAAGUUGGCGCUGGGUUGGGAAUCGAGAUUCAUAUUUAUGAGCGUGGCGCGCAUGCGCGAGCGGCGGCCAUGUUUGAUUAUGCCUGGAAUCGGCAGCGAAGGGAAGCGCGCAAAAGAAACAAAUUUGUUGCGCUACGUCAAUGUCGCGGAGACAAUGCUCAUUUACAUAAAACAUUCUGCACUGGCUGUCAUCAGAGGCCUAUCGCGGAAUCAUAUGACAAUAGCAUCGCGCCUCGGUCAUCGAUUGUUACGGAAAAGCUGGAUCGCUGCAUUAUUCAGCGCGGCAAACUGGAAAAUAUAAGCGGUCGACGGCGGCGUCCCUACGUGUUUUGUGACGGUAAAAAUAAGCUCGGCUACUGCGCUUCGAGAAAGUGGGGUGGGUGCGUUAAACCCCGAGGCAACCGUCAAUGCCGCGGACUUCCAUUUACAGAAAGCCGCUCCCUGGUAAUUCAAUCGCGAGGUUAUCUAUCGUCUGAGAACAUCGACACCACUUCAAGCACUCAUCAUCCAUCCCAGCCAAUUUCAAAGCACGGUAUACAACGACGUCACACUUAUUUUUCAGCAUUGUUUAUUGCACUAGCCGCUAGCCAAGAAUAUCCCCUAAAUCGGGCACAAAGGACGGCUUCACGAGUAAACACGAGCUUCGCGAUACUUUGAAGAACAAAAAGAACCAACCUUCCAGCCUUAUUCGCAUAUUCACGGAGACCAGGAGGGCCGGCCUGUCUCGGUGGAUCCUACUUUCCAUCCUCUCUUCAAAUACGGAGCAUCCGUUACGAGAAAUCAAAAUUAAUAACUCCCAGAAAAACAUUCCUAGAUAGACAGAAGCCUCGAGUUAAAAAGUUCACGCACGUUGACACAGAACGUGCACGCAGUCAGACCGGAUGCAGCCUCAACCCUUCCGUGACGGGCAGCCCUGUCCCACACGGUUCCACGGGUCCCGAACGAAAACGCCCUUAGGGAACUCAACGCGGAGAGGCCAACGAUCUUACGUGAAUCACGAGACGACCCACGUGAAUAGAAUGCCGUAGUGUGCCAGGCGCUGAGUACAACGUUGAAUUCUCAAUGAACCACGUGCAUCUACCUUAACGCACACGCGUCCCUUCUAAUUACUAUAUAGUACCUCUUGCUGCCAAACGGACCGUAAGUCGGACUCAUCUACGCCUCCGUUAACGCCUAAAGAAAUCACACGCAGUUUCAGUAGCCACGUAACGACCGCCUCUAUCGGUUCGACACUCUUCCGCGUAACGACACGUCGCUAAAUGCAUACCGUACCUAAUCCUAACGAAAUCACGUAAUCCCUGUACCUCUAAAAUAUAUAUAUAUAUACAAUUCUUCGUAAAAUCCACGAAAACAUCCACGUCGUUACCAACAGACAACCUAGCAACACAUUAAAUCAUUACACUGUAAUAAUCGCCAUGUAUCAAACGUUGCCUCUACCAGCCGAUAAAGUCUAAUCAGUUGUUUACGGUCUGCCAAGUCACGUGUAGUAGAAAAAAAAAGAUGAAAAAAAAGUUUCGUAGCGACUUCCAACGCUGCUAUAUAAUACAUAUACAAUAUGGCUAUUUGGUGUUCGACUAGGACUCGCUGACAUAAGUAGGUGGGCUGCUGGUCGGACUCUGCGUAGUUUGACUAUACCUAAGUACAGCAGUGUAACGAGUAUGAAAACGAGCGAUAUAUAUAUACAUACACGUAAGUACUAGAGACUGUAGCAGGAGAAGGGAAAGCGGGGGCGUAUAGUGGGGGCCUUAAUGAGGAUGCUGCUGAUUAUCCAAUUCGUAAAUUCUCGCUACAUUUUGAUCACACUGGCCGACCCGCGAGUAACAAGAAAAUAACGUUUCGAAUCGUACCGACUAAUCCUACACGUUCUAUACACAAGUAUUUAUUAUAUGCUUAGUCUGCUCGCAGCUCCUAUUACGCAAACACGGCCGCGGAUCACGAGUCCGCUAACGCGGCCAAACGGUAAGACAGAAACGAGACGGACGAGACUAGAGAAACUGAAGUAGCCGAUGCAGGAGAUUUUUCAUUCUGCGCGAGAAAAAAAAAGAAUAAAAAUAAACAGCUGAUUCUCAAAAUUCCUGUAAAAACUGUCCUAGCUCGUUGGCUGGUCACCGAUUGAGGGACCGUAGACGUAUGGUAUGCCUAAUUUUUUUUGUGUAAUAAAAUUUUCUCCAAACUCAGCGAACUUGCAGAUCGGUCUACUGAUCUCGUGGAAUCGUACAGGAAUCGUAAUUAUUAGUCACGACCGAUCUUGCGUAAUCCUAUUGACGAAUAAUUCGCGCAUGCCAAAAGGGUUCGCCUCCGAUUGUUCGUAUCAAACGUUCCUUUCUCCGUUCUUCCCUCUUCACUACGUCGUAUC